rnacentral:rRNA from 1 species
GAUGAACGCUGGCGGCGUGCCUAAUACAUGCAAGUCGAACGAGUGGCGAACGGGUGAGGAGCACAUGGGAACCUGCCCGUCAGAGGGGGACAACAGCUGGAAACGGUAGCUAAUACCGCAUACCAUCAGAUGUGCCCAGAUGGGAUUAGCUAGUAGGUGGGGUAACGGCUCACCUAGGCGACGAUCCCUAGCUGGUCUGAGAGGAUGACCAGCCACACUGGAACUGAGACACGGUCCAGACUCCUACGGUAGGCAGCAGUGGGGAAUAUUGCACAAUGGGCGCAAGCCUGAUGCAGCCAUGCCGCGUGUAUGAAGAAGGCCUUCGGGUUGUAAAGUACUUUCAGCGGGGAGGCGUUACCCGCAGAAGAAGCACCGGCUAACUCCGUGCCAGCAGCCGCGGUAAUAC